UUCCACAAUGGACGCAAGUCUGAUGGAGCAACGCCGCGUGAGUGAAGAAGGCUUUCGGGUCGUAAAACUCUGUUGUUGGAGAAGAAUGGUCGGCAGAGUAACUGUUGCCGGCGUGACGGUAUCCAACCAGAAAGCCACGGCUAACUACGUGCCAGCAGCCGCGGUAAUACGUAGGUGGCAAGCAUUAUCCGGAUUUAUUGGGCGUAAAGCGAGCGCAGGCGGUUUUUUAAGUCUGAUGUGAAAGCCCUCGGCUUAACCGAGGAAGCGCAUCGGAAACUGGGAAACUUGAGUGCAGAAGAGGACAGUGGAACUCCAUGUGUAGCGGUGAAAUGCGUAGAUAUAUGGAAGAACACCAGUGGCGAAGGCGGCUGUCUGGUCUGUAACUGACGCUGAGGCUCGAAAGCAUGGGUAGCGAACAGGAUUAGAUACCCUGGUAGUCCAUGCCGUAAACGAUGAAUGCUAGGUGUUGGAGAGUUUCCGCCCUUCAGUGCCGCAGCUAACGCAUUAAGCAUUCCGCCUGGGGAGUACGACCGCAAGGUUGAAACUCAAAGGAAUUGACGGGGGCCCGCACAAGCGGUGGAGCAUGUGGUUUAAUUCGAAGC
rnacentral:rRNA from 2 species